CUAAUAUUCAGAGACAUGAAUGAACCAAGACAUGAAACACUGCACACCUAGUGUUGAUCCCAUGUUUGAGCAAGAAAGCUAUUAUCACAUGAAAACUAACUAAUUUCUUGAUUUAAGACUCUUUUGUUCCAUUAAUGAGUUUGCCAGCCAAGAAAAUGAAUUUCCAUCAACUUUCCAUUGCAUGGGUUCCCUGGCAAAACUGGAGAAAAUUCAAAAACAAUGAGGCGCUGACCAUCAUCCAUGUCCAGCACAAGCAAAGUUUGUAGUUCAAUAAUCUCGCAUUCUAGUCCAUUCAAAGUAAAAGCUAAGUUUAUUGCUUGCGUUUUUUUGUUUUCAUUUCAGGGCAAUGCAAACAGAGAGGAUAGACCGCCUCAUAUGUUCAGGCUAUACUUAUUAUAAUCAGAUAUGUACAUUUUCAAUUUUUCUGAUCCAGAACUUGUUCCGCACCCACCCCACGAUGCCCUGCCCCUCCCUGAACUGGGCCCCCACGGCUUGCUGCCGCGUGAUCAGCCCCCAUCAACACCAUACCGUCGGUGUAGAUGUCGCUUUUCUGGUCCAUCUUUACUGAGUUUCAAUACUCUGCACAAUUUGCAUUAAUCUACUUGUUUUCAGUUCUGAUAGUUAAAUUUUCUGUUGCUCUGAUCGAUCGAUGGGUGCAUCAGUCAAAGGUGAACAAGAACAAGGAGAUACACCUAUUUUAACAGGAAACCCCUUGCAGGGGAAAACCACAGAUGCACAACCAGACAACCUUGCAUGGUCAAUGUAGGAGGAAUCUAUUUGUCUCAGAAGAUGGGCAUUAAUUUCUCCCUGUGGGGUAAUCCCACUUUAGGCAUACGAGCCCUCACCCCCUCAGAAUGUUUAGAGUUGGUUGGGUAUAGGAAGCAACUCUGAAGAAAUGGUCCCACAAUAUGUUUCCUGUGUGUGCACCAUCCCAAGUUUGCAUGGUCAUUUUGGGGUUCAUCAUUAGCUCCUUAACUCAUCGGAGCUCAUGCAUUGUUUUGCAAGCUAGAUUGCACUACCAUCUUUGGCAUUCAUCAGCUGCUCGAUUGACGAAACCUGUUGGUCAUUGCCAUCAGAAUGGCAAAUAGGCUUGUGGCCUCCAUUACCUUGAGCAAUACAUAUGCCUUUUAUCAAGCAUUUGACAUGUUGCAGCUAAUGCUCUUUGUUACAUGGAACAAUAUCAGUGUGCUAAUAUGUUGUUUAAAACUUUAAAUUUGUACCCAUUGCAUCUCUUUUGAUUGUGCUUUCUUUUUUUUCCCCCUCUUGCAAUUAUUUUUCUUUUUGUCUGAGAAGACCCAUAUUCCCCAAUGCCAUAUCUAAUAGCAAUACACUGCUUGCAAUUCUUACAUAGGCGAGCUGCAAUUUCUUUCUUCUUUCCUGGUUAUACAUAUACGACUUUAAAGACUGCCACAUGGGAUCGACAAGGCUACUAAAACUACAAAACUUCAUGAAUGAUGGCUGUAUACGUGGUGAGAUCAUUUUUUGCUAAUCUCUUUAUUGUUCACUGGAUAUUUUGGUCUCCGUCUAGGAGCAUAGUCAGUAGCUAGCCAGAUUAAUCAAUCCUGUGGUUUUCGUGGAUAUUCUGUUGUGGGGUACAUAUGUUGGACUAAUUAACAAUGCAACUGAAGGUGUAUUCAAAAUAAUCUUGGCCUAUAUAGACUAUGUGGCUUCUACGGUGGAGCAAUGAUGAGAACAAAUCUUCAUUCACGUCUCAUGUGAAUCAGUUUAGACCUGGCUGUUCCUUUUGUUGUACUGUACCAUGUGCAUAAGUUGACAUGAAGCUUACAUAGACAACAAACGGACAGUUGGUGGCUGUAUGUGUUCCCAAUUUGUUAUAGUAGUUUGUUUCAUCAGUUGGCUUCAGCUCCAGACUCCAGUUUAUUUGCCAAGGAUAGCCUAGCUUUGGAAGCUUUCUUACUAGCGUACGCGGUGUGCCCUCCAUCAUAGUUCCCUGACUGGAUCAUGCAUUGUGCCAUAAUCCAGAUAGUGCUAUACUAUCAUUAGUAUCAUGUUUAGCUAAACAUGAGUACUAGUAUGGGUUUGAGGGUUCCAGAUGGAUUGGUGUGCGAUGGCGAGCAAAGCUAAGUUUUGGCUGAUCUGAAUUCUGAGAAUGAAGAGAGCACAUGAUCUACGUCUUUAAAAAAAUCACCAUAUAGCUUGCAUUGAUCAAUGCUAACCGUGGAAAAGAUGGGAGAAAUUUCUUUGGAAUUCUGUCUUGUUUCCUGGUCAAACUCUGGCAGAACCCUUCAAUCGUGGCUGCUGGCUCCAUUUGUGGGGAGGGAGAGAGACCAACUAACCCAAUUGCUGACUCUACGCACUUUGACUUUUUCUCUCUUGUCCUGCAUUGAGAUUUUUUUUUAAAAAAAAAACUGGUACUCGGCAUCGAUCAUGAGUUCACGACUUUUUUUAAUCCUCCCCGGAUCAAGCACUAGAUGAAGGAACUAGCAGGUACCACUACCCAGGCAUAGAAUAGUAGUAUAAAAAACCUUGAAAUCUCAUACAUUUUUUUUUGCCUGACUAUGCAGAUGUACAUGUUUCGUCAGCGCUUAUGCAUGCUGACACAGAGCAAGGCGAAGCUGAUGGCUAAGCUUGUCUCGGCUACAAAGGAAUCACGUGAAGCACAGAUUCUGAGCAUUAUUUAACCUAAAAAAAAUUUGCUCGUAAUUUAAUAACACCCUUGCUGUGCAAAUUGCAUUGAACUGUUUGGUACCCACGUGAUCGGAGGCUAUCUUCUGGUGGCAAAUCGCGAAGCACGACUUGUAUUGGUCUAGAAGAUUAGGACGACAGGUGGAUGGAAAAGCAAGCGAUUGACUCCACCUUUUUUGAUCUUGUGCAAUGCUAGAUAAAUUACAAACCUAGGGUUCUGGCAUCUUAAUGUAUGCUACAUUAUAUUCCUUGCCAAAAAAAAAUUGUAGUACGUUAUGUAUAUUAAUACAGUGUAUAUUCAGCUGCUCGAUGAAUGAACAGCUUCGGUAUGUAGAGGA